rnacentral:rRNA from 1 species
CGGGGGGAGCAAGCGUUGUUCGGAUUUACUGGGCGUAAAGGGCGCGUAGGCGGCCACCGCAAGUCAGUUGUGAAAUCUCUGGGCUUAACCCAGAAAGGUCAACUGAUACUGCGGGGCUAGAGUGCAGAAGGGGCAACUGGAAUUCUCGGUGUAGCGGUGAAAUGCGUAGAUAUCGAGAGGAACACCUGCGGCGAAGGCGGGUUGCUGGGCUGACACUGACGCUGAGGCGCGAAAGCUAGGGGAGCGAACGGGAUUAGACUACCCCGGUAGUCCUAGCCUUAAACGAUGAAUGCUUGGUGUCUGGGGUUUUAUAGUCCCCGGGUGCCGUCGCUAACGCUUUAAGCAUUCCGCCUGGGGAGUACGGUCGCAAGACUG